rnacentral:rRNA from 1 species
AACGAACGCUGGCGGCAGGCUUAACACAUGCAAGUCGAGCGAGACCUUCGGGUCUAGCGGCGGACGGGUGAGUAACGCGUGGGAACGUGCCCUUCUCUACGGAAUAGCCCCGGGAAACUGGGAGUAAUACCGUAUACGCCCUUUGGGGGAAAGAUUUAUCGGAGAAGGAUCGGCCCGCGUUGGAUUAGGUAGUUGGUGGGGUAAUGGCCCACCAAGCCGACGAUCCAUAGCUGGUUUGAGAGGAUGAUCAGCCACACUGGGACUGAGACACGGCCCAGACUCCUACGGGAGGCAGCAGUGGGGAAUCUUAGACAAUGGGGGCAACCCUGAUCGAUCCAUGCCGCGUGAGUGAUGAAGGCCUUAGGGUUGUAAAGCUCUAUCAGCUAGGAAGAUAAUGACGGUACCAGCAGAAGAAGCCCCGGCUAACUCCGUG